rnacentral:rRNA from 1 species
CUGAUGCAGCCAUGCCGCGUGCAGGAUGAAUGCCCUAUGGGUUGGAACCUGCUUUUAUACAAGAAGAAACCUCGGUACGUGUACCGACUUGACGGUAUUGUAUGAAUAAGCACCGGCUAACUCCGUGCCAGCAGCCGCGGUAAUACGGAGGGUGCAAGCGUUAUCCGGAUUUAUUAGGUUUAAAGGGUCCGCAGGCGGAAUAUUAAGUCAGUGGUGAAAGCCUACAGCUCAACUGUAGAACUGCCAUUGAAACUGUUAUUCUUGAG